rnacentral:lncRNA from 1 species
GUGGUCUGAGGCAGAGACUGAAAGAAGAGGGAGGAGAAGAUACCAUGGGGCUGUACCACCGCAUAGACUGAGGUCCCAGGCUGAACAAAGAUACAAAGAGGAGGCAAAGACAACCGUUCAUCUCUCUCUACUUCCUGACAAUGGACAAAGUGCGACCAGUUGUAUCCACCCUCGUUCUAAUGCCUUUCCUGCUAGGAUGGAUUAUAUCCCAUAAACCAGAGUCAAAUUGAUCCUUCCUUUGAUCACGCAAAGGAGUCUACCACCCACAGGUGCAUCUUGGGAGCUCUGUGGGAAUGGAGGAAGGCUUUCAGGAUGCCCUGGCCAGAUGCUGGGAUGUGGGGAAUGGAGUGUUCUGCCUGCACACCAGAGGAGGGCACUGGAUCUCACUGAUGGUUAUGGCCCACCAUGUCAUUGCUGGAAACUGAAGGCAGGACCUUUGGGAGAACAGCCAGCCAGCGCUCUCAAUCUCCAAGCUGUCUCUGCAGCUCAGAAGCUGUUGACUUUUAAUUAGUGCUUUAUUUAUUCUUUAGGCAUUGCACACAUGUAUGCACUACACUCUGAUCACAGCCAGCUCCCCUUCCCUGAGGGCUCCCCACAUGCUGCCCCCCAGCUUCCUGUGCUCUUUCAUGUCUUCUUUUUAAAUGAUCCACUGAGUCCGACGACUGCUGCUUGUCCACGUGGGUGUGGGCCCGUCCACUGGAAGUCGGGAGACACACCUGAGGAGAAGUUCCUUUUCCUUCCUCAGCAGCAGCUCACUGACAACAGCUCCUUGGCUGUGAGGCCUUGUGAGUCCCUCCUCCAUGUAUAUGGGAAUUUUUAUACUUUUAUUAAAAUUAUCCAUAUACUAGAUUCUGAUUACUGUUUCCCAUACCUUGUCUUCUCAGAAUCUUCCCCUCCCCCCGCCCAUCCAACUCCACAUCUUCUCUCUCUUUCAUUAGAAAACAAACAGGCCAAUAAACAAACAAACAAACAAACAAACAAACCAGAAUAAAAAGCAGACAGAGAAAAGAAAAAGAAAAAAAAAGGAAAAUACAAAUAGCAGAUGCAGA